CAGUCGCCGCGGUAAUACGAAGGGGGCUAGCGUUGUUCGGAAUUACUGGGCGUAAAGGGCGCGUAGGCGGCCAUUCAAGUUAGAUGUGAAAGCCCUGGGCUCAACCUAGGAAUUGCAUUUGAUACUGUUUGGCUUGAGUUCGGGAGAGGUGAGUGGAAUUCCCAGUGUAGAGGUGAAAUUCGUAGAUAUUGGGAGGAACACCAGUGGCGAAGGCGGCUCACUGGACCGACACUGACGCUGAGGCGCGAAAGCGUGGGGAGCAAACAGGAUUAGAUACCCCGGUAGUCCCUGUCUCUUAUAC
rnacentral:rRNA from 1 species